UACGUAGGGGGCGAGCGUUAUUCGGAUUUACUGGGCGUAAAGGGCGCGUAGGCGGUCAGCACAAGUCAGUUGUGAAAUCUCCGGGCUUAACUCGGAAAGGUCAACUGAUACUGUGCGACUAGAGUGCGGAAGAGGAGAGUGGAAUUCCUGGUGUAGCGGUGAAAUGCGCAGAUAUCAGGAAGAACACCCGUGGCGAAGGCGGCUCUCUGGGACGGUACUGACGCUGAGACGCGAAAGCGUGGGGAGCGAACAGG
rnacentral:rRNA from 1 species